ACGAACGCUGGCGGCGUGCUUCACACAUGCACGUCGAACGGAAAGGCCCUGCUUGCAGGGUACUCGAGUGGCGAACGGGUGAGUAACACGUGGGUGAUCUGCCCUGCACUUCGGGAUAAGCCUGGGAAACUGGGUCUAAUACCGGAUAGGAGCCAUUUUUAGUGUGAUGGUUGGAAAGUUUUUUCGGUGUAGGAUGAGCUCGCGGCCUAUCAGCUUGUUGGUGGGGUAAUGGCCUACCAAGGCGGCGACGGGUAGCCGGCCUGAGAGGGUGGACGGCCACAUUGGGACUGAGAUACGGCCCAGACUCCUACGGGAGGCAGCAGUGGGGAAUAUUGCACAAUGGGCGCAAGCCUGAUGCAGCGACGCCGCGUGGGGGAUGACGGCCUUCGGGUUGUAAACUCCUUUCGCUAGGGACGAAGCUUUUUGUGACGGUACCUAGAUAAGUAGCACCGGCUAACUACGUG
rnacentral:rRNA from 1 species